rnacentral:rRNA from 1 species
UACGUAGGGUGCAAGCGUUGUCCGGAAUUAUUGGGCGUAAAGAGCUCGUAGGCGGUUUGUCGCGUCUGCUGUGAAAACUCGGGGCUUAACCCCGGGCCUGCAGUGGGUACGGGCAGACUAGAGUGCGGUAGGGGAGACUGGAAUUCCUGGUGUAGCGGUGAAAUGCGCAGAUAUCAGGAGGAACACCGGUGGCGAAGGCGGGUCUCUGGGCCGUAACUGAUGCUGAGGAGCGAAAGCGUGGGGAGCGAACAGG